CCUACGGGAGGCAGCAGUGAGGAAUAUUGGUCAAUGGACGAGAGUCUGAACCAGCCAAGUAGCGUGAAGGAUGACUGCCCUAUGGGUUGUAAACUUCUUUUAUAUGGGAAUAAAAUGUUCCACGUGUGGGAUUUUGUAUGUACCAUAUGAAUAAGGAUCGGCUAACUCCGUGCCAGCAGCCGCGGUAAUACGGAGGAUCCGAGCGUUAUCCGGAUUUAUUGGGUUUAAAGGGAGCGUAGGUGGAUUGUUAAGUCAGUUGUGAAAGUUUGCGGCUCAACCGUAAAAUUGCAGUUGAAACUGGCAGUCUUGAGUGCAGUAGAGGUAGGCGGAAUUCGUGGUGUAGCGGUGAAAUGCUUAGAUAUCACGAAGAACUCCGAUGGCGAAGGCAGUUCACUGGACUGCAACUGACACUGAGGCUCGAAAGUGUGGGUAUCAAACAGGAUUAGAUACCCCUGUAGUC
rnacentral:rRNA from 1 species